rnacentral:rRNA from 1 species
AUUGCACGCUGGCGGCAGGCCUAACACAUGCAAGUCGAACGAGUGGCGGACGGGUGAGUAAUGUCUGGGAAACUGCCUGAUGGAGGGGGAUAACUACUGGAAACGGUAGCUAAUACCGCAUACCAUCGGAUGUGCCCAGAUGGGAUUCGCUAGUUGGUGGGGUAACGGAUGACCAAGGCGACGAUCCCUAGCUGGUCUGUGAGGAUGCACAGCCACACUGGAAAUGAGACACGGUCCAGACUCCUACGGUAGGCAGCAGUGGGGAAGAUUGCACAAUGGGCGCAAGCCUGAUGCAGCCAUGCCGCGUGUAUGAAGAAGGCCUUCGGGUUGAAAAGUACUUUCAGCGGGGAGGCGUUACCCGCAGAAGAAGCACCGGCUAACUCCGUGCCAGCAGCCGCGGUAAUUC